CUCUGUGACUCCUACGGGAGGCAGCAGUGGGGAAUAUUGCACAAUGGGCGCAAGCCUGAUGCAGCCAUGCCGCGUGUAUGAAGAAGGCCUUCGGGUUGUAAAGUACUUUCAGCAGUGAGGAAGGUGGGUAUGUUAAUAGCAUACUCAUUUGACGUUAGCUGCAGAAGAAGCACCGGCUAACUCCGUGCCAGCAGCCGCGGUAAUACGGAGGGUGCGAGCGUUAAUCGGAAUUACUGGGCGUAAAGCGCAUGCAGGUGGUUUGUUAAGUCAGAUGUGAAAGCCCCGGGGCUCAACCUCGGAAUUGCAUUUGAAACUGGCAAACUAGAGUACUGUAGAGGGGGUAGAAUUUCAGGUGUAGCGGUGAAAUGCGUAGAGAUCUGAAGGAAUACCGGUGGCGAAGGCGGCCCCCUGGACAGAUACUGACACUCAGAUGCGAAAGCGUGGGGAGCAAACAGGAUUAGAUACCCUGGUAG
rnacentral:rRNA from 1 species